AUGAGGCUGCUUCAGAUGGACUGGAGUAUAAUUACCAGCCCACUAUGGAGAUGACAACGUACUUGGUUGUCCUCCGUUGCUGGCUUAGCUUGGUUACUCAGUCUGCAUAAACCAUGGGUAAGAGCCAAAAACAGAGGUGGACUGAGUCCUUUGAGUGGGUUUUACAUGAUAGAAGAAGUAGCGUUAAGAUCCCUGCAUUCCUUCCCUUAACACUGGCCAAUUAGCAAACCUGGGUUUGGGACACUACUGAUGAAACUUAAUUGUUCAGGGAGGUUGAUUAACAUAUUACUUGGUUUCUCCCCAUGAAGGCAUCGGGCAAUUGCAUCAGAAUUGAUGCAAUGCUACAUGAUCCCACCUAAUUCAGUCUAUUUUUCAUUGCCACUUUUUUUUUUUUUUUUUGAGACAGGGUCUCACUCUCUGGCCCAGGUUGGAGUGCAGUAGUGCGAUCAUGGCUCACUGCAACCUCAACCUCCUGGGCUGGGCCCAAGCAAUCCUCCUGCCUCAGCCUCCUGAGUAGCUAGGACUACAGGUGUGUACCACCAUGCCUGGCUAACCAUAAAAAUGUUUUUUGAGUGACAGGGUCUUGCUAUGUUGCCCUUCUUCUUUUUUCUUUUUUCCUUUUUUUUUUGAGACAGAGUCUCUCGCUCAGGCUGGAGUGUGGAAUGCAGUGGUGCAAUCAUGGCUCACUGCAGCCUCAACCUCCUCAGGCUCAGGUGACUCUCCUACCUCAGCCUCCCGGGUAGCUGGAUCUACAGGUGUGCACCACCAUGCCUGGCUACUUUUUUGCAUUCUUUUUUUGUAGAGAUGGGGUUUUGCCAUGUUACUCAGGGUGGUCUUGAACUCCUGGGCUCAAGCAAUCCUCCUGCCUUGGCGUCCCAAAUUCAUUGCCAUUCUUACUGAUAUAUGACUGUUGGUGUCAGAAUGCAUUUAUCUCCAGAGAUAAACACCACAAUAACCAUCAAGACCACGACUUAAACAAGCAACUCAACUAUGCAACAAGGCUAUGAAAGUAAAGGCCUUUUAUAAGAUUUGUAUUUCAAUAUAUUACAAAUCAGGGACAGAUACAAGCUUUGUGGAAACUGAAGCUUAUACAUUUUGCUGUGUUUCCUUUAACAAAAUAAAUACAAAAUUAUGAAUAUAAAACACCAUUGCUCCACUAUCCCUCGGGGGUCCCUUGAAGUUUCAGCUUUAUUAGCUUCAGAAUACAUUUUCUGAUUUCAAUAAAAAUAUAGAUGAUCUGGGUAUAGCUGAGAAACCGACACUUUAAAAAACUUGUAUACUGAAUGACUAACUAAAGAUAGGCAUAUUCAUAUACUUAGAAGUAAUGAAAUGCUCUUCAAAAACAUCUCAACAGAUGCGAAUAAAAUGCUGGAAGUUCUGAUGCUAUGAAAAAGGAAAUUCAACUUGCCCAGGUGUAACUUAUUCCAACAAAUCAAGUUUCUGAAGGUUUAAUUAGCUUUCAAAGCUGUCUGAAGGCCUGGCACCAUGGCUCACGCCUGUAAUCCCAGCACUUUGGGAGGCUGAGGUGGGGGUGGCUAGGUCAGGCUGGGGGAAAUCACUUGAGGUUAGGAGUUUGAAACCAGCCUGGCCAACAUGGUGAAACCCCGUCUCUACUAGAAAUACAAAAAUUAUCCAUGCAUGGUGGCGGGUGCCUAUAAUCCCACCUACUCAGGAGGGUGAGGCAGGAGAAUCGCUUGAACCCAGGAGGUGGAGGUUGCAGUGAGCUGAGCUUGCCCCACUGCACUCCAGCCUGAGUGACAGAGUGAGACUCUGUAUACCCCCGCCAAAAAAAAAAGCUUUUUGAGCACUCAUGAGUUCCCAUGACACACCAUGAAAUUAUCACAUUCAAAAAAGGAGAAAAGAAGAAGAAAGUGGAUUCUCUCUGCUGGCAAGCUGGUAUCAGCGCACACCCUAUAAAGUAAAGGAGCCCAGCUGGAAACACGAGGAACAUGAAUGAAUG
rnacentral:lncRNA from 1 species